AGUGAACGCUGGCGGUAGGCCUAACACAUGCAAGUCGAACGGCAGCACAGUAAGAGCUUGCUCUUACGGGUGGCGAGUGGCGGACGGGUGAGGAAUACAUCGGAAUCUACUUUUUCGUGGGGGAUAACGUAGGGAAACUUACGCUAAUACCGCAUACGACCUACGGGUGAAAGCAGGGGAUCUUCGGACCUUGCGCGAUUGAAUGAGCCGAUGUCGGAUUAGCUAGUUGGCAGGGUAAAGGCCCACCAAGGCGACGAUCCGUAGCCGGUCUGAGAGGAUGAUCAGCCACACUGGAACUGAGACACGGUCCAGACUCCUACGGGAGGCAGCAGUGGGGAAUAUUGGACAAUGGGCGCAAGCCUGAUCCAGCCAUACCGCGUGGGUGAAGAAGGCCUUCGGGUUGUAAAGCCCUUUUGUUGGGAAAGAAAAGCAGCAGGUUAAUACCCCGCUGUUCUGACGGUACCCAAAGAAUAAGCACCGGCUAACUUCGUG
rnacentral:rRNA from 1 species